CGCAAACACUCUGGAGAGACCGGUUGAAUCCGGCGCCGAAGGGGCACGAAGCGACCACACCGGCGCUUCCAAACUCUCAGGCAAAAGGACAGAGGGGCGCCU
rnacentral:ncRNA from 2 species